rnacentral:rRNA from 1 species
UACGUAGGUGGCAAGCGUUGUCCGGAUUUACUGGGCGUAAAGAGCGCGCAGGCGGUCGAUCAAGUCGAGUGUGAAAGCCCACGGCUCAACUGGGGAGGGUCAUUCGAAACUGGUCGACUCGAAGGCAGGAGAGGGUAGUGGAAUUCCCGGUGUAGUGGUGAAAUGCGUAGAUAUCGGGAGGAACACCAGUGGCGAAGGCGACUACCUGGCCUGUUCUUGACGCUGAGGCGCGAAAGCUAGGGGAGCAAACGGG